GUUUCAGAUUUUGUUAACUAACAGAGAAGAGCGGGUCGUUGCUUAUGGUGGCGCCUUAAAAAGAAGGGCCGGGACAAAUGGAAAGGGACCCCAACAAGGAAAACUGGGUAUUUGCAGAUAUGCUCCACACGGACGAUCCUCCUUUUUUAGGCUGUAAUUUGCCAACACACACCGGGGGCUCAGAGAAGUCCUAUAGUACCUUUGUUUAAUCCAGCGUUCACGGGUUCCACUGGUCAUGGAACUUCUUGGGUAGCAAACUAGCCAGUUCCAGGGCAGUCUGAGAAAAGUGGCUUGACGCCGUGGCCCGACCGAGGACCCUGACCCAGGACUCCUGCCCCCAGCAAGUUCUCUCUCUCUGAAAAAAGAGACAAGACAGGC